rnacentral:rRNA from 1 species
AUACGAAGGGGGCUAGCGUUGUUCGGAAUUACUGGGCGUAAAGCGCGCGUAGGCGGAUUGGUCAGUUAGGGGUGAAAUCCCAGGGCUUAACCCUGGAACUGCCUCUAAUACUGCCAGUCUUGAGUUCGGGAGAGGUGAGUGGAAUUCCUAGUGUAGAGGUGAAAUUCGUAGAUAUUAGGAGGAACACCAGUGGCGAAGGCGGCUCACUGGCCCGGUACUGACGCUGAGGUACGAAAGCGUGGGGAGCAAACAGGAUUAGAAACCCCAGUAGUCC